rnacentral:rRNA from 1 species
GACGGAGGGCGCAAGCGUUGUUCGGAAUUACUGGGCGUAAAGCGCGGGCAGGUGGUCUGUUAAGUCGUUUGUGAAAAUCCGGGGCUCAACCCCGCGAAAUGCGUACGAUACUGGCAGGCUGGAGACUGGUAGAGGCUAGCGGAAUUCCUGGUGUAGCGGUGGAAUGCGUAGAUAUCAGGAAGAACACCUGUGGCGAAGGCGGCUAGCUGGGCCAGUUCUGACGCUCAUCCGCGAAAGCGUGGGGAGCAAACAGG